CAAAAUGAACGAAACCUAAACCUAACCCAGUAACCCCCAUUCGGCCAUUCCCCCAAGCCCCACUCCCAAACGAACCCUAGCCCCUCUCUCCCUACUCCCUAGGUCUCACAGCCUCGCUCUCUGCAACUCCCAUCGCCGGUGAGAGACCUCCUCCCACCACCUCGCAGCCACCGCCACCUUCCUCCCAGCGCAGCCCUUCCACUGCUCCCACCCAGGACCUCCUCGCGGACAGAGCAGCCCAGCACUGCAGCACACAGACAGCGCCCAGCGCCCAGCAGGUCGGCACCACGCUUGCAAGUCGCACCCACCACCACCCUCAGUCCCUCGCAACUCGCAAAUCGCACCCAGCAGGCCAUGACCACCCACUCACCCAGGACCACUCGAUAGCCUAUUGCAAAACGCAGAGAAGACAGAAGAGAACUCGAACGCAGCUUGGAGGAAGCACCGAAGCAGCCAUCUCUCGUCGCCGUUCCUCAACGUCCAGCCACCGUCGCCGGCCUCGCCUUCUGCCUCCGUCGCGCAGCCACUGUCUUGACGGUGCCAGUUCUGUUCCAUCGCGUCAGCCCUUCGGUCGUGCCCUGUUCCUUUCUUGCUACUGAUCUGCUCUGCUCUGUUCUGGCAUUUAGUUCUAGAUUUACAUAUAUUAAACUCCAAACUAGCUGAUAUGGUGAUAGUCGUAGGCUGCAGCAAGUCUUGGCUGACUUCUUAUUGAUUUGCAUCAAUUUUACGCCAACCAGAGGUCAAGUUGUUGUUGCAGCCUCUUUAACGAAAGAUCAAUUAGGCAAAUCAGUUCAUUUGGCUUACUUGGAGAUAAGCAUAACACAUGAUGGUGUUGGUGUUCCGGAAACAUUGCUGAACCAAAUGUUCGGACGAGACGGACAAGAAUCCGAGGAGGGUAUUAGUCUGCUCAUCAGCAGAAAGUUGCUGAAGCUCAUGAAUGGAGACGUGCGGUAUCUGAGAGAAGCUGGCUAAUCAUCUUUCAUCUUAACAGUUGAACUGGCUGCUUCCCAGAAAUUGAUUGCUUAAAGUUAUAGGAAAUAAAGAAAUACUAUCAGUUUUUGUGCAUCAGAAAAGCAAGUGAGCAAGAAAUCACUUUUCUUGUACAACAUACCUUAAGAGUAAGAGUAACAUAGUCUCAAGUCUUAACGCUUCUGUAACUCCUUGUACGGUACGGUGUAUAUAUGUAUGAAUCUUCACGUUAUUCAGCUAUUCACAUAAACUAUUAUAUAUUUAUAUUACUUACUCUUCCUGCAA